UACUACUAGCCCGAUGCUAAGUCUAAGCCAGCUCUGGAAGAAAAGUUUUCAACACGUACACAUCGGGAGGUGCGAGGUAUAACCGUCAGCCACCAGCUCGCCACCUCUUCUUCAAGGGCAGAGUCCAGAGCAGUACGUUUGGGCUUCUGGUGGAAGUUAGACACCCCAAAAAAGCAGCUGGCAAAAUGUGCACACCGAGCAGGGAGCCUUUUGGACCUCUCCUUCCUGGCCCCAGAGCUCCACUCCUCCGGGACAUGGGAAAUUCGGGAUUGAACAUCCCACCUGCUAGGAGGGAGGAGGGAGCUGCACCCCUGUCUCCUCCUUCGGGAGCGUUCCCACCACUGGUCUAGUAGAGAAGAACUGAGCAGUGGAGACAAGCUCGUGGCCGGGUGGUCUAAAUAAAGCAGAGCGGCAGGUAGUCAGGGAUUUGGGGUCAGGCUGAGGGGUUUCUGGUGAGUGGAGGGGCUCUGGGCCUCACAAGUCCUUUUUUGGUUUAGCUUACACCCACGGUGGGAAAAUAUUUUGGGGGCAGCAUUGUUUUAGAGUUGGAUCUCCAACCUGAAAUUGUGACUAUAGAUUUUAUUACCAUAUUUACUUCAGCGCAGGAGUCAAGAGAGGAAGAAGCCUAUUAAAAACCAAAGAAAACCAGUUAUUCUUUUUCUUUUCUUCCUUUUUUUCUUUCUUUUUUUUUCUUUUUUUUUUUCCUAUUUGGCAGGACUAAUACACUUUUGGUACUCCUCUAGACACUAUGGCUAGAUAUUUCUCUCACUCAUCUGACAAGCUGCCACCAAAGAUCUAGUUCUGUUUCUCCAUACCUUGCCUGUACCUGUAAAAGCUUGACGCUGUCUUCGUAUCAGCUGAGGCAAUCGGCAUGUUCAGGCCAUUACAGAUCUGUGGAGAUGUCGGAUUCAGCUCAGCAUAGACUAUAGGGCCCUGGCUCCUAAAGUGAUAGAAAGCGAGCACUCCUCACCGCAUUAUCGCAGAGUGACUGCUGGAUGGAAGGGACAGAGUGUUCAGUUACAGCACAACCACGUGGCACACAAAAACCCCCAAAGGUAGACCAUCUUCUUCUUGAAAGGAAAACUCUGUUGGGUGAAGGAUGUACUGAAAACACGAAGGCUUCCUCUGCACUGCAGCUCAGUCGCAGGUUCAGUCCUCAAGAUUUGAUUCUCUUACUGCCAAUCUUCACAUGCUUGCCCAGGCUAAAAACAGACCUUAGAUGGAGACAUGCAGUCCAGAAGAAUCAAGGAUGCUCUGGACCCAAGCAAACUAGGCACAGUCUGCUGGGAGGCAUACCAGAAGACAUAGUGUCUGCUCUUAGGAGAUCUUUGAGUCCACCUGAACAAGGGACAGCAAGCUGCACGUCCCACGCUUAAGCUGGUAUCUCACCAUGCAGUGGAUGCUGUGCACUUGGUACAGUGGAGUUAAAAGUCAGCAGGGUCGCUGAAAAUAUGUAGACUAUAAAGCUCAACAGAGUCACUUCUGCUCUCCAGGCUGCAGCCUACCUCAUUGUGUUGAUAUAUCUCUUAAGCAGGUAUAUUGUUUGCAAACUCCUGUGGUAGCUGAAUAUAUGUCAGUGAUAAUGUAUGGACCUGCAUUCUAUCUGUAAAAGCAUUUCUGGCUGUUUCCAAACAAAAAGACUACUUACCUGCUGAGCUGCUUUAAAGUACUUUUGAGAACCCAUGCUCCCAGACUAGAGACCAGUUUUUCAGCUAACAUAACUUCACUGAAGACCUUACACAUUUUGCUGUGAAUUCAGUGCAAUAAAAUCAUACUUGCUGCC